CAUACACACAAAAACGAAAAGGGAACCUCAGCAUACAGAAAAAAAAAAAAAAAAAGGGCACGAUCAGGAAACCAAAAAAAGAACAUUGGAAUUUUCUUUUCUUCUUCGAGGAUACACCCACACAGAAUUUUUGGUCCAUUCUUUUUUUUUCUUCUUGAAGCACACAGCAACACACUUUCUUUUCCAUGGAGAGGAGGGAAUAACAGAACAUACACUCACCACUCUCAAUUGAUACCCAUACAGCCUUCACUCAGUCCUCGCUGAUCUUGGAAGAUUCACACACAGUUUCCAUGGAAAGAAUGAGGGAUAGAGAGAGGUAGAGAUCGAUAGAGGGUGGGGGCGAGAAAGAUUAGGCUGAAAAGGGAGAGGAGAUGACACACAGAAACCUCCAUUAACACAGUCGAAAACUUGAUUUUUUUUAUUUUUUUCUUCUUUUCCCCUUCAUCACGCACAGUCACAAGCUUGCGUACACCCACAGAAAUAGAGUAGAACGGAAAUAGAGAAGUCACGACGAGGGAGAGAUAGGGGAGAUCGAGAGAGACAACAGAGUAUUUGAGGUUUUUCGGUGAACCCGGCGCCGUAGCCGUUGGUUUUGGUCGAUUCCAGUUGAAUCUGGCCGGAAACGGCGAGUUUCACCGAAAUCGAUUGUUCGCAUUGGGGUUUUCGUCAUUGAUACGACCAACGCUGAUUUGUUCAUUGCUGUUCUCGAUCAUUUUCUUACGGAAAAUCUCAUUUGGGUUGAGUUUAUCACGAUUUCUGUUUUAAAAAUUUGGGGUUCGCGUUGGUUUGGGAUUUGAUUUCUGUUCAUCUCAAAUCGUGUCGUAUUAUAGUCAGUAAGUUUCGGGUUACUAUUUAUCGAUACCGAGUUGGGGCUUCAUCGUUGUUGAGGUUUUCUAUCUGAGCCUUCAGAUUCGGACUUCUUUUGACUCUUAUUGUCAUCAAAAUUCAAUAUCGGAAGUUAUGUUGAUCUGCUGCACUUGAAGCAAGGCUCUUUCGUAAACAACCUUUAUAUCUGUACGAAUGAGGGAUAAGGUGGUUUGUGCACUAUACCCUUUCUCGACCUCACUUGUGGGAUUACUCCAUUGUUGGUGUUGUAUUAUUAUGUUAUAAUUUGUAUAUAAUCAACAUGUAUAUAUUUAUAAUAAAACGGUAGUUUGGUG